CCUACGGGAGGCAGCAGUGAGGAAUAUUGGUCAAUGGUCGCAAGACUGAACCAGCCAUGCCGCGUGCAGGAAGACGGUCCUAUGGAUUGUAAACUGCUUUUAUACAGGAAGAAACCCUCCCACGUGUGGGAGCUUGACGGUACUGUAGGAAUAAGGAUCGGCUAACUCCGUGCCAGCAGCCGCGGUAAUACGGAGGAUCCAAGCGUUAUCCGGAAUCAUUGGGUUUAAAGGGUCCGUAGGCGGUCUUAUAAGUCAGUGGUGAAAGCCCAUCGCUCAACGAUGGAACUGCCAUUGAUACUGUAAGACUUGAAUGCUUAGGAAGUAACUAGAAUAUGUAGUGUAGCGGUGAAAUGCUUAGAUAUUACAUGGAAUACCGAUUGCGAAGGCAGGUUACUAACAGUUUAUUGACGCUGAUGGACGAAAGCGUGGGUAGCGAACAGGAUUAGAUACCCUGGUAGUCCACGCUGUAAACGAUGGAUACUAGCUGUUUGAGCGCUUCAGGCGUUUGAGUGGCUAAGCGAAAGUGAUAAGUAUCCCACCUGGGGAGUACGAACGCAAGUUUGAAACUCAAAGGAAUUGACGG
rnacentral:rRNA from 1 species